UACAGAGGGGGCAAGCGUUAUUCGGAAUUAUUGGGCGUAAAGGGCGCGUAGGCGGCGAUUCAAGUGACGGGUGAAAUCCCUCAGCUUAACUGGGGAACUGCGUCCGAUACUGGAUGGCUUGAGUUUGGGAGAGGGAUGCGGAAUUCCAGGUGUAGCGGUGAAAUGCGUAGAUAUCUGGAGGAACACCGGUGGCGAAGGCGGCAUCCUGGACCAACACUGACACUGAGGAGCGAAAGCCAGGGGAGCAAACAGG
rnacentral:rRNA from 1 species